AAGUUAUGCAAUAAGCCAUGGAGUCCUAUCUGUUUCACAGACCAGUGCUAAGGAGAAUAUGACAGAGAAAGGCAUCCUGCAAGAAAAAAAAUGGAAGCAGUGAUAACCACCAAGCAGCUACAGAAGUAUAGAACUUGCCAUAUGAGCCAUUGGGCGUAAUCCAUGUUCCAAGUAAAGGAAAACGGAAGAGGUGGGCCUUCAAAUAUUUCUUAACUGUUCCUACAGGUUGAAAAAAUGCCACUGCUUUAAGGAAAUCACUCAGCAAUUCCUAAAGCUAUAGGAGGAUCCUUUCAGCUUGUACAAUGAAAAAGGGAGGGGCUAACUGAUGUUAUUAACAAAGAGCAGUGAAGAUCUCGGCUGUCUGAAACUCUUAUUUUGAGCCAUUUCAAAGAGUGCACAAUCACGUUGAUCAUAUACUUAACUAAAAGGAAAACUUAAUUUUAUCUUGAAUAUGAUAAAAGGUGAUAAGAGUGAAAAACAAUUCUGAACCACAAUGAAGAACAUUACACCAUCCAAGUGGACACUAUCAGAUAUCGGUCUAGAGAUGCCUAUGGCCCUUGGACUGUGGGUUUCUCUCUUUUCUUACUGAGCAGCUGGACAUACCGCCAAACAAAGCAAGAGUAUGUUUUGCUCAGUCUGAGUAAAAAAGGAUGAAACUAUCCACCUGGGAGGCAGUUCUCUGAAAUUCACUGCAAUCAAAGAGGAUUGAACAAGAUUUGAUAAGCUCUGAGUAAGCAUCUGAUUGAAAAACUCUUUUUAAAACUGGA